UACGGAGGGUGCAAGCGUUAAUCGGAAUUACUGGGCGUAAAGCGCGCGUAGGCGGUUUGCUAAGCGGGAUGUGAAAGCCCUGGGCUCAACCUGGGAAUGGCAUUUCGAACUGACAGGCUAGAGUGUAGAAGAGGGGUGUGGAAUUUCCGGUGUAGCGGUGAAAUGCGUAGAGAUCGGAAGGAACACCAGUGGCGAAGGCGACACCCUGGUCUAACACUGACGCUGAGGUGCGAAAGCGUGGGUAGCAAACAGG
rnacentral:misc_RNA from 1 species